CCUACGGGAGGCAGCAGUGAGGAAUAUUGGUCAAUGGGCGAAAGCCUGAACCAGCCAAGUCGCGUGAGGGAGUAAGGUCCUCCGGGUCGUAACCCUCUUUUGCCGGGGAGCAGUGCCCCGCUCGUAAGCAGGGAGGAAGCGUCCCCGGAGACAAAGCAUCGGCUAACUCCGUGCCAGCAGCCGCGGUAAUACGGGGGAGGCGAGCGUUAUCCGGAUUUAUUGGGUUUAAGGGGUGCGUAGGCGGGCCUUCAGGCAGGCGGGAAAAUUGCGGGGCUCAACCCCGCCGGGCCGUCGAAACCGGGGGACUUGAGUAUGGGAGAAGUACGCGGAAUGCGUGGUGUAGCGGUGAAAUGCAUAGAUAUCACGCAGAACCCCGAUGGCGAAGGCAGCGAACCGGCCGGUCACUGACGCUGAGGCACGAAAGCGCGGGUAUCGAACAGGAUUAGAUACCCUAGUAGUC
rnacentral:rRNA from 1 species